GGCCGGUCCCAAUGUGGUAUUUACAACUAAUUGAUCACAACCAAUUACACAUUGCUUUGUUCCUUCUCCACUCUCUUUCAUUUGACUAGGCUAAG
rnacentral:Y_RNA from 1 species